rnacentral:rRNA from 1 species
UACGGAGGGUGCGAGCGUUGUUCGGAAUCACUGGGCGUAAAGCGCGUGUAGGCGGCCCACUAAGUCUGAUGUGAAAGCCCGGGGCUCACCCCCGGAAGUGCAUUGGAAACUGGUGGACUCGAGUCCCGGAGAGGAGAGUGGAAUUCCUGGUGUAGCGGUGAAAUGCGUAGAUAUCAGGAGGAACACCGGUGGCGAAGGCGGCAUCCUGGACCGGCAUUGACGCUGAGGCGCGAAAGCCAGGGGAGCAAACGGG